UACGGGGGUGGCAAGCGUUGUUCGGAAUUACUGGGCGUAAAGGGCGCGUAGGCGGCAUUACAAGUCAGAUGUGAAAUCCCUGGGCUUAACUCAGGAAUUGCAUCUGAAACUGUUUUGCUUGAGUCCUGGAGGGGGUAGUGGAAUUCCCAGUGUAGCGGUGAAAUGCGUAGAUAUUGGGAGGAACACCUGCGGCGAAGGCGGCUACCUGGACAGUGACUGACGCUGAGGCGCGAAAGCUAGGGAAGCGAACGGG
rnacentral:rRNA from 1 species